rnacentral:lncRNA from 1 species
AUCUAAUUCCUUUUGUAAUUUUUCAUUAUCAUUGACAAUAUUAUUAAUUCUAUAGUCAUAAUCCUUUUUCUCAGAGUUUAGUCAAUUAACCUUAUAUUGCAGUCGCAUUGCUUCAACAUGAAUGAUGGAAACCCAUUGAGGGCAUUCCAUUCAAAGGAGUAUCAACUAAAGCUAAGGCUAAGAAAGGGAAGUGAAGAAGGACUUUUAAAAGCUCUUUCUUGAUUUUCUUUUUCUAAGUCUUAGAAGGAUUCUCUUUAAUAUGUUUAUAUGUGUUUUGUAGGUCUAAUAAAGCUAGGAGAUCAUGGAU